rnacentral:rRNA from 1 species
ACAUGCAAGUGGUAGGAAACUGAAAGGACCGACCUUCGGGAGCUUGCACAGGUGCUGCAUGGCUGUCGUCAGCUCGUGUCGUGAGAUGUUCGGUUAAGUCCGCUAACGAGCGCAACCCUCGCUGUGUGUUACAAGUGUCACACGGUACUGCCGAUAUUAAGUCGGAGGAAGGUGGGGAUGACGUCAAGUCAGCAUGACCUUUAUAUCCAGGGCUACACACACGCUACAAUGGCCAGUACAAUGGGUUGCCAAGCCGCGAGGCGGAGCCAAUCCUAAAAAGCUGGCCUCAGUUCAGAUUGCAGUCUGCAACUCGACUGCAUGAAGUUGGAGUUGCUAGUAACCGCAGGUCAGCAAUACUGCGGUGAAUACGUUCCCGGGGAUU